UCAUCCUGGAGGAGGGCAGGGAGAUGCUGGUAGGUUAUGUGGGUCAGACUGUCAGUGACCCCUAGGCCACCUUUGUCAAGAUGCUGCCAGACAAGUACUGCCGCUAUGCCCUCUAUGGCGCAACCUAUGAGACCAAGAAGAGCAAGAAGGAGGAUCUGGUGUUUAUCUUCUGGGCUCCUGAGUGUGCAUCCCUUAAGGGUAAAAUGAUUUAUGCCAACUCCAAGGACGCCAUCAAGAAGAAGCUGACAGGGAUCAAGCAUGAAUUACAAGCAAGCUGCUACGAGGAGGUCAAGGACCGUUGCACCCUGUCAGAGAAGCUGGGGGGCAGUGCCGUCAUCUUCCUGGGGGACAAGCCUUUGUGAUACCCCCUCUGGCCCCCUGCCUAGAGCAUCUGGCAGCCCCAGACCUGCUCUCAGGGAUUGCAGGCUGCCCCCUUCCUGCCAGACCGAAGGGACUGGGGGGAUUCCAGCAAGGGGGAGGGCAAUCCCUUCACUCCAGUUGCCAAACAGCACCCCCACCCCCUGGAUUUCCCUCCCUCCAUUCCUGAAGGUUCCAGCCUUCCCAAACCGCUUUUGAUCUUGAUUCCUCUUGGGUUGAAGCAGACCAAGUUCCCCCCAUGCACCCCAGUUUGGGGGGGGGUUGUAUUUUUUUUUUAACAAAACCCUCACUCCCCACCUGUUCCUCUCCCUUCCCAUGCUGCCAACUUCUAACCGCACAGUGACUCUGUGCUUGUCUGUUUAGUUCUGUGUACAAAUGGAAUGUUGUGGAGAUGACCCCUCCCCAUGUCGGCUGGUUCCUCUCCCUUUUCCCUUCGUCAUGGCCAUUCAUGGAAGCAGGUCCAGCAUGGGACCUUUGAUUAAAAA